rnacentral:rRNA from 1 species
GACGAACGCUGGCGGCGUGCUUAACACAUGCAAGUCGAACGGAAAGGCCCCUUUGGGGGUACUCGAGUGGCGAACGGGGGAGUAACACGUGAGUAACCUGCCCUUGACUUCGGGAUAACUUCAGGAAACUGGGGCUAAUACCGGAUAGGAAUCCUUGCUGCAUGGUGGGGGUUGGAAAGCUUCGGCGGUUUUGGAUGGACUCGCGGCCUAUCAGCUUGUUGGUGGGGUAGUGGCUUACCAAGGCUUUGACGGGUAGCCGGCCUGAGAGGGCGACCGGCCACAUUGGGACUGAGAGACGGCCCAGACUCCGACGGGAGGGAGAAGUGGGGAAUAUUGCACGAUGGGCGGAGGCCUGAUGCAGCAACGCCGCGUGCGGGAUGACGGCCUUCGGGUUGUAAACCGCUUUCAGCAGGGGCGGAGCUUGUGGUGACGGUACCUGCAGAAGAAGCACCGGCUAACUACGUG